rfam:Hyphomicrobium sp. SCN 65-11 ABS54_C0030, whole genome shotgun sequence.
UCAGCCGGCCGGACGGUCGCUGCCGAGCGCCGCGCAAGCGAUGCAAGGUGGAGGAAAGUCCGGGCUCCAUGGAUCGACGGUGGCGGCUAACGGCCGCCGGGGGCAACCCCAGGGAAAGUGCCACAGAAAGCAAACCGCCGAAGCGGGCUCGCCCGCGGCAGCAAGGGUGAAAGGGUGCGGUAAGAGCGCACCGCGCCUCUGGCAACAGAGGUGGCAGGGUAAACCCCACCGGGAGCAAAACCGAAUAGGGGCGGCAGGACGCGACAGGUUCGCCUGUCACGUCGAGCGUGAUCCACGCCGCUGCCCGGGUUGGUUGCACGAGGCGUCCAGCAAUGGGCGCCCCAGAUGAAUGGCCGUCGCGGAGGGAAACCUCCAGACAGAACCCGGCUUACAGGCCGGCUGACAUG